rnacentral:tRNA from 1 species
GCGAGAGGGGCGGAAUUGGUAGACGCACCAGAUUUAGGUUCGGACGGGAAAAACCGUGGGGGUUCGAGCCCCGCCUCUCGCACCA